UAAACUAGGAUUAGAUACCCUAUUAUAAUAUAUCUAAAAUUUUAACCUGGGUAAUAAUAGUUAUGUUCUUUAAACCUAAAGAAUUUGGCGGUGUUUUAUUCUAUUCAGAGGAAUUUGCCCCGUUAUCGAUAAUCCUCGGUUUAUCUUACUUAUUUUUGUUUAUCAGUAUGUAUACCGCCGUUAUAAGUUUAUUUUAUUAGAAUAAAAAUUUACUUAUUUCUUAUUUUUGAAUUAUUUCA
rnacentral:rRNA from 1 species